rnacentral:ncRNA from 2 species
GCAAGGCUAUCGUGCGUAUAAUCCACUCGUGCGAAGAGUGGAAGCCGGUGCAAAGCCGGCGCGGCCGCGCCACUGUAUUCGGUGCUGUUUUCAGAUACCGCAAGCCAGACCCUUCUUCGUGCCAUGUCUUUA